AUGCACGCUGGCGGCGUGCCUCAUACAUGCCAGUCGAGCGAACGGACGAGAAGCUUGCUUCUCUGAUGUUAGCGGCGGACGGGUGAGUAAUACGUGGAUAACCUACCUAUAAGACUGGGAUAACUUCGGGAAACCGGAGCUAAUACCGGAUAAUAUUUUGAACCGCAUGGUUCAAAAGUGAAAGACGGUCUUGCUGUCACUUAUAGAUGGAUCCGCGCUGCAUUAGCUAGUUGGUAAGGUAACGGCUUACCAAGGCAACGAUGCAUAGCCGACCUGAGAGGGUGAUCGGCCACACUGGAACUGAGACACGGUCCAGACUCCUACGGGAGGCAGCAGUAGGGAAUCUUCCGCAAUGGGCGAAAGCCUGACGGAGCAACGCCGCGUGAGUGAUGAAGGUCUUCGGAUCGUAAAACUCUGUUAUUAGGGAAGAACAUAUGUGUAAGUAACUGUGCACAUCUUGACGGUACCUAAUCAGAAAGCCACGGCUAACUACGUG
rnacentral:rRNA from 1 species